UACGGAGGGUGCAAGCGUUAUCCGGAUUCACUGGGUUUAAAGGGUGCGUAGGUGGGCAGGUAAGUCAGUGGUGAAAUCUCCGGGCUCAACCCGGAAACUGCCAUUGAUACUAUCAGUCUUGAAUAUCGUGGAGGUAAGCGGAAUAUGUCAUGUAGCGGUGAAAUGCUUAGAUAUGACAUAGAACACCAAUUGCGAAGGCAGCUUACUACCCGAAUAUUGACACUGAGGCACGAAAAGCGUGGGGGAUCAAAACAGG
rnacentral:rRNA from 1 species